rnacentral:rRNA from 1 species
GAGUUUUGAUCAUGGCUCAGGAUGAACGCUAGCGGCGUGCUUAACACAUGCAAGUCGAACGAAGAUGCCGGAGUGCUUGCACUUUGGCAGACUGAGUGGCGGACGGGUGAGUAACGCGUGGGUAACCUGCCUUAUACAGGGGGAUAACAGUUGGAAACGACUGCUAAUACCGCAUAAGCGCACGGUAUCGCAUGAUACAGUGUGAAAAACUCCGGUGGUAUAAGAUGGACCCGCGUCUGAUUAGCUUGUUGGUGAGGUAACGGCCCACCAAGGCGACGAUCAGUAGCCGGCCUGAGAGGGUGAACGGCCACAUUGGGACUGAGACACGGCCCAAACUCCUACGGGAGGCAGCA